rnacentral:hammerhead_ribozyme from 1 species
CUCCAGCUGACGAGUCCCAAAUAGGACGAUACGCGCAUCAAACUGGAC